rnacentral:tRNA from 1 species
AAUUAAGAAGCGAAUGUUGCAUUUAGUUUCGGCCUAAACUUUGGUGGCUCCUCCACCCUUAAUUA